rnacentral:rRNA from 1 species
UGCGUAGGCGGUGCGGAAAGUUGGGUGUGAAAUCCCUCGGCUCAACCGAGGAAUUGCGCUCAAAACUACCGUGCUCGAGGGAGAUAGGGGUGAGCGGAACUUGGGGUGGAGCGGUGAAAUGCAUUGAUAUCCCAAGGAACGCCAGUGGCGAAAGCGGCUCACUGGAUCUCUUCUGACGCUGAGGCACGAAAGCUAGGGUAGCGAACG